UACAGAGGGUGCGAGCGUUGUCCGGAAUCACUGGGCGUAAAGGGCGCGUAGGUGGCCACCAUAAGGCCGCGGUGAAAGCCCGGGGCUCAACCCCGGGUCGGCCGUGGCAACUGCUGGGCUGGAGCACAGUAGAGGCGGGUGGAAUUCCGGGUGUAGCGGUGGAAUGCGUAGAGAUCCGGAAGAACACCGGUGGCGAAGGCGGCCCGCUGGGCUGUUGCUGACGCUGAGGCGCGACAGCGUGGGGAGCAAACAGG
rnacentral:rRNA from 1 species